GGAGCGGGCGAGGCGGUCGCUCGGUCGACGUUCAAAACGCCGACCGGGAGGAAAGUCCGAACUGGGCAGGGCACGGUGGUCGCUAACGGCGACCCGGAGCGAUCCGCGGGAUAGUGCCACAGAAACGACACCGCCGUCGGCAUGCCGCGCAAGGCUUCGGUGAACGCAUGGGAACGCCUGAUCAUGCAUUCGGCCAUUCAGGCUCCUCGGGCGGUGACCCCAGCCAAAGCCCCACGCGGCAUGCCCACGGUAAGGGUGAAAUGGUGCGGUAAGAGCGCACCGCGCCACCGGUGACGGUGACGGCAGGGCAAACCCCACCGCCAGCAAGCCCAAAUAAGCAGCAAGAGGUGGCCCGCCUCGCCUGAGCUGCGGGUAGGGCGCAAGAGCGACCUGGCAACAGGCCGCCAAGAUGAAUGACCGCCGUCCGGCCACGGGCAACCGCAGCUGGACAACAGAAUUCGGCUUAUUCGCCCGCUCCGUCC
rnacentral:RNase_P_RNA from 1 species